UAUUUGGUUUCCAAAUUAAAGUCAGAAUUUCAAAUAAUGGCUUUGGGUGGGAAAGAAUGAAACUCUAGCAUAUGUUCAGUAUGUGACAACAAUAGCAGGAAAUUUACAAAAUAAUCAUUAAAUAAUUUAUAAAAUAAAUUUAAAUAAAAACAUUUAAUAGAAACUUAUUAUUAUACUUAAUUUUAAAUCCCUAUAUACUGAGGCUUAUGAAAUGUGAAAUAUUUAUUAUUUAUCCUUAUUUACAAUUUUUCUUUUUAAGCUUUCUAAUUUCUUUAAACUUUUGAGUGCAUGUGAUAUUUCUCGUGAAAUAAAAUUAUUUUACUAACCAGAUAUUAUUUUAGUAACAUCGAUAAAAGGAAAAUUUAAUACGUAUCAAAUUCUAAAAUCUACUUUCGUUAUUUCUGUUGGUGUUCCAAUUAAAAUAUUAUAUGAAUCAGAAAACCGGUCACAAUGUUACACUGGAAAGUUUAAAUGGUGAAUUUUACCGUGGGAAAUUAAUUGAAGAAAAUAAUGUGAAUGUUCCAUUAUGUGAGUUCACAUUUACUGACAGAUCCGGAAAAGUUAGCUAAUUGGAAAAUCUCUAUAUUUGUGGAAGUAUUAUUAGAUUUCUUCUUACUAGAAGUCACCGGGAAACCAAAGUCUUUGGGUUCCGGGGGAAGUAUGGUUGCAAAGCUGAAACUUAAAGGAAUUGACGGAAGGGCACCACAAGGAGUGGAGCCUGCGGCUUAAUUUGACUCAACACGGGAAAUCUCACCCGGUCCGGACACUGUGAGGAUUGACAGAUUGAUAGCUCUUUCUUGAUUCGGUGGGUGGUGGUGCAUGGCCGUUCUUAGUUGGUGGAGCGAUUUGUCAGGUUAAUUCCGAUAACGAACGAGACUCUGACUUACUAAAUAGUGAAUUUAUAUUCAAUUGUAAAUUCUCACUUCUUAGAAGAAUAAAUAGCGUUUAGCUAUAUGAAAUAGAGCAAUAACAGGUCUGUGAUGCCCUUAGAUGUCCGGGGCCGCACGCGCGCUACAAUGGCAGUACUAACAAGUUUUCCUAACUAGAAAUAGUCGGGUAAUCUCUUGAAACACUGUCGUAUCAGGGAUUGUGAAUUGAAAUUAUUUCACAUGAACGAGGAAUUCCUAGUAAGCGCAAGUCACUAGCUUGCGCUGAUUACGUCCCUGCCCUUUGUACACACCGCCCGUCGCUACUACCGAUUGAAUGGUUUAGUGAGAUUGUUGGAUUCUGAUCUAAGAAAUGGCAACAUUUCUAUGAAUGGGAAAAGACACUCAAACUUGAUCAUUUAGAGGAAGUAAAAGUCGUAACAAGGUUUCCGUAGGUGAACCUGCGGAAG
rnacentral:rRNA from 1 species